rnacentral:rRNA from 1 species
ACACUCCUACGGGAGGCAGCAGUGGGGAAUUUUGGACAAUGGGCGAAAGCCUGAUCCAGCAAUGCCGCGUGCAGGAUGAAGGCCUUCGGGUUGUAAACUGCUUUUGUACGGAACGAAAAAGCUCCUUCUAAUACAGGGGGCCCAUGACGGUACCGUAAGAAUAAGCACCGGCUAACUACGUGCCAGCAGCCGCGGUAAUACGUAGGGUGCGAGCGUUAAUCGGAAUUACUGGGCGUAAAGCGUGCGCAGGCGGUUAUGUAAGACAGAUGUGAAAUCCCCGGGCUCAACCUGGGAACUGCAUUUGUGACUGCAUGGCUAGAGUACGGUAGAGGGGGAUGGAAUUCCGCGUGUAGCAGUGAAAUGCGUAGAUAUGCGGAGGAACACCGAUGGCGAAGGCAAUCCCCUGGACCUGUACUGACGCUCAUGCACGAAAGCGUGGGGAGCAAACAGGAUUAGAUACCCCAGUAGUCCCAUGAU